rnacentral:rRNA from 1 species
UUAGGAAUCUUGGACAAUGGGCGCAAGCCUGAUCCAGCCAUGCCGCGUGAGUGAUGAAGGCCUUCGGGUUGUAAAGCUCUUUAGCCGAUGAAUAUAAUGACUGUAGUCGGAAAAUAAGCCCCGGCUAACUUCGUGCCAGCAGCCGCGGUAAUACGAAGGGGGCGAGCGUUAUUCGGAAUCACUGGGCGUAAAGCGUGCGUAGGCGGCGAUGAAAGUUAGAAGUGAAAGCCCAGGGCUUAACCUUGGAAUUGCUUUUAAAACUACAUCGCUAGAAUUCGGGAGAGGAUAGCGGAAUUGUCAGUGUAGCAGUGAAAUGCGUAGAUAUUGACAGGAACACCAGUGGCGUAAGCGGCUAUCUGGACCGACAUUGACGCUGAGGCACGAAAGCGUGGGGAUCAAACAGG